UACGAAGGGGGCUAGCGUUGCUCGGAAUUACUGGGCGUAAAGGGCGCGUAGGCGGAUAGUUCAGUUGGGGGUGAAAGCCCGGGGCUCAACCUCGGAACUGCCUUCAAUACUGGCUAUCUUGAGUACGGGAGAGGUGUGUGGAACUCCGAGUGUAGAGGUGAAAUUCGUAGAUAUUCGGAAGAACACCAGUGGCGAAGGCGACACACUGGCCCGGUACUGACGCUGAGGUGCGAAAGCGUGGGGAGCAAACAGG
rnacentral:rRNA from 1 species